rnacentral:tRNA from 1 species
UGAAAGAUAAGCUAAUAUAAGCUAAUGGGUUCAUACCUCAUUCAUGGAUUAAAAAUCCUCUUUUUA